GGUGUAGUAGUCUUACACCUACCAAUUGAGUCGUUAAACCUCGUUCUGGGUGGGAGUCGUUAUUGGGCUGCAAACCCUGUACCCACCAGUUUUAUGUCCGAUGGCUUAACCACGACACCACCGAGGCGGGUUAUAUGCACAUCUUCAUUGUCUACUUGUUAUAUUGAUGCCAAAUUGGCGGUCGCCACACGACCAUGUAUUGUAAAUCAUUAUUGCUAGGAUUCACGUUUCAGAGGUAUGGGUAGUUUAAUACCAGGUACACGAUUCACGUUUCAGAGGUAUGGGUAGUUUAAUACCAGGUACACCAUUCACGUUUCAGAGGUAUGGGUAGUUUAAUACCAGGUACACGAUUCACGUUUCAGAGGUAUGGGUAGUUUAAUACCAGGUACACGAGUUAGGCCCUAUAGGCCUCAUGUGUUAUUGUGCAUAGUUUGUAUAAAGUUCUUUCUAAUCGUCAUGGAGUCGAUACCAGUGGCGUUCUUUGAAAUCGUCAUGUAGUCAACACCUGUGGCAUUGUUUGUAAUCGUCAUGGGGCCAACACCUAUGGCGUUGUUUGUAAUCGUCAUGGGGUCAACACCUGUGGCGUUGUUUGUAGUCGAUACCUGUGGCGUGUUCAAGUAGGCGAGCACUCUCGAACAGUUGGACUGGUUUUCAUCAUAUCUAUCAUAUUGUAUCAUACCGCUUUCAUUUAAGAAAGAUUUUAGAUUUGCGGGUUUUAGUCUAUUUGAUGUCCGUAAAUGUUUCAUUUUUCACCUCAGGCUAACGCCUUCGGUCACAAAUGACAUUUGCGGGAUGCUAAAAACUCUAUAUGGUUAUGUCCAUUGUAAACUAAAUCGUUUUUCUAAACAAACUGUGUACGAGAUAUUUCUUGAUCAAAAAUACUGGCUACACUUAAACUGUCAAUUUCGCCUGUUCCAAUUGCUAAUGACGUCACUUUCUAAUGACGUUAUUAGCUUCGGGUGUUAUUUUCAUUUCAUCCCCCAAAAAGAAUGUAAUUAACCAAUCACAAUACAGAACACACUCGCCAUCAGUUUACAAUGAAGAUUAGUUUUAGAAACCAGUCUGCCAAGGUAGUGCUAGCGCUCUGGCCUUCUGUUUAUAUACUUUGUUUUUGGUAUUAUUUAUAUCUAAAGCAAUACUAAUGAUUGAACAAAAAAAAUUCUUCUUUGUUAAACAUCUGCUGAUGUACUGUCGUAAAAAAUGCUGCAUCUCAAAAACAAUAUUUGAAAUAUACGUACAGGUAGGUUCCUUAUUAGAAAUAAAGGGUUUUCAAUCAUACUGUUUUAUACAUUACCAUUACAUUGUUAUGAUCCCAUCAUAAUAAUCCAAUAUAGACUAUACUGUAAUAUAUACGUUACUUUUAAUUUAAUGGUAAAACCAAGUAAACCUAUAGAUUACAUGCAAUUGUGUCAGCAAAAGAUUUGAUUUUACCAUUUACCAAUUUGAAUGUAUACUGUUCAUGUAGACAUUCGCCUAUUGUGAAUAAAACGUGCCUCAUAUAA